ensembl:lncRNA
AUAUAUAUAUAUAUAUAUAGGAAGACAUUCCUCCAUAACUUUUUUUAUAUAACAGUUUACAGUAUGUACAGCAGUGGUUGCAAACUCAAUUCCAGGAGGGCCACAGCUCUGUACAGUCGUUGCCAAAAGUUUUGGCAGUGACACAAAUUUUGUGUUUUACAAAGUUUCCUGCUUAAGCUGUUGUGGUGUUCAUUAACAUUGUUUCUAGAUUAUUGUGUAGAGUGAUCAGAUGCAUUUUAAAUAAUUGCUAAAUGCUUCAUUGGCAAGUUUUUUGAUUCUGACACAAAAUGACCAGCUAACAUUAAUUGACUAAUCAUAUCAGCAGCACAUGAAAGUGUGAAUGAGUUCUAGUCAGGUAAAAUCACUGUCAUACUAAUUAGAUUGUAAGAGCACACUGAUUGCUAUAAAAGGAAGGAAGAAGCACUUCCAAUCAUUGUAUUCUUGUUAGUAAUGGUUAUCUCCAAAGAAAGAUGUGCAGCCAUCAUCGCUGUGCAUCAAAAUGGCCUCAAAUGCAAGGAAAUUGCUACAAAGCAUAUUGCAUCUGAAAGAGCCAUUUGCCGGAUCAUCAAGAAUGUCUCGGGUUACUUGACUGUAACCCUGUUCCCUGAAAAAGCGGGAUCGAGAUGCUGUGCUCAAUAGCGCUAAUGAGAACUUUCUUUGUUCGACCGGUUGUGAAGCAUGUGUGUCAAACACACCAAGAAUUGGCUUAAAUAACCUCGGCAGGUGAUGUCAUCUGAUUACGUUCACCCUUAUAGGGUUAUAAAUAGACGUGAAAUGGACACUUCUUCAGGUUACCUUUUUGUCUGAAGAGACAUCCAGGCACAUCGACAGUGCGUCAUUGAGGCACAGCAUCUCGUUCCCGCUUUUUCAGGAAACAGGGUUACAGUCAAGUAACCUGAGACGUUCCCUAUCAAAAGCUACUCUCGAUGCUGCGCUCAAUAGCGCUAAUGGGAACAAGAAUACCAAAGCCGCCGCACUGGAAGUUUCUGGACCCCCAAGGUUGUGUAGUGUGUGCACACAAACAUCGAAGAGGUCUCAGACAUGACUCUGGGAUGUUGACUCAAGCAUGAACAUCCAAACUAUAUAAUCUGACAAAUGUGUGCUGAGAGGACCAGCCUGCCGCAUCACACACUUGCUGCAAGGGGACACCUCUUGCUAAAGCCGUAGAAGUUGCAACCCCCCUGGUUGAAUGGGCCCUAACUCCUAGAGGCGUAGCUUGACCAUGCGCCUCGUAGGCUAGGCAAUAGCAUCCCUCACCCAAAGUGACAUAGUUUGGUCUUUCUUUCCCCAUAUGAAAAGCUGCUCUGACAUACACCACUGGCUAGUGCGGUGGAUGUAAAUCUGAAGAGCACGUACUGGACACAGUAAAUGAAGUCUUUGCUGCUCCGGUGUUUUAAACUCCGAUGGCAGGACUGACAAAGCCUGUAAAUCCCCAAUUCUCUUUAAACAAGUAAUGGCCAUAAGAAAAACCAUCUUUAGAGUCACAAGCCUGGCAGGCACUGAUUCUAAUGGUUCAAAAGGGGUGCCAGCCAGCCCCUCGAGCACUACGGCUAAAUCCCAUGAAGGGACCGUAGCUCUAGUGGGCAGCCUCAACCGCUUAGCUCCACGAAUGAAAUGGGCGACUAGAGGGUGCUUUCCCACAGAAACCCCGUCAAUCAAAACAUGGCUAGCCGAAAAAGCGGCCACAUAGGUUCUGAGAGUACUAGGGCAUGUGCCUGAGGACAACUAGAAUAGUCUCUAUUACAUUGGCUGGAAGGCCAGCAUCUCUUAGUUGGUCCCCCUCAGGGGCCAGAUGUGAAUGUUUCAGAGCUCGGGCCAGGGAUGAAAUACUGUCCCCUGCGCCUGAGACAGAAGAUCUCUGCUGACUGGAAUCGCCCAUGGCGAGCCAUCGAAGAGGGAUAUUAGAUCUGAGAACCAUACUCUGGUCGGUCAAUGGGGCACUAUCAGUAAGAGGCUAAACCCAUGUUGAAGGACCUUGGCCAGGAGCAGAGCGAUCGGGGGAAAUGCAUAAAGACCCCAUUUGGGCCAAUUAUGGGCCAUGGCGUCCAGAUCUAUGGGAGCUUGAGAAGACAGAAAGAAGCAGAGGGGACAUUGUGCCGUCUCCUGUGAAGCUUCAUAAAAUAUUUCCCAGAUUUGGCUUUUCCAGCUUGUCUGUAAAGCAAGUCUGCUCCCACAUUCAUAUGCCAAGGGAUGUAAAUCGCCCUGAGGGACAGGAACUUGUCCUGUGCCCAAAGUAGAACCUGCUGCGCUAGCCUGUUCAGGCGGCGCAAACGCAGUCCACCCUGGUGAUUUAUUUAUGAGACGACCGCCGUGUUGUCCACCCACACUAGGACAUGGCAGCAUCUUAACUGCUGGAGGAAGUAUUUCAGGGCCAGAAAUACAGCCUUCAUUUCGAGGCAAUUGAUGUGCCAUUCGAGAAGAUGACCUCUCCAGAUCCCUUGGGCUGGACGGCCAUCCAAGCCCGCACCCCAACCCAUGAGGGAAGCGUCUGUUGUUAGCAUCUUGCGAAGACAACACGGAGCUAGAGUGGGAACCAAAGUCAGAAACCGGGGUCUGAACCACAUAGAUAGGGUAUGAAGCCCCUGGCGUGUAACCGUUAUUCACCUUCGGGGAUUGGCCCUUGGAUGAAAUCCCCUGGCUCUGAGCCACAACUGAAACAAUCUCAUGUGCAAGAGGCCCAAAGCUAUCACCGUGGAUGCAGCUGCUAUGAGACCUAGAACUUUCUGAAAGUAAUGAACAGUAAUAUUCUGGCCUAGCUAGAUGUUCUUUAGGGCAUUUAGAAUGGAUUCGAUGCAUCCAGGAGACAGCUGUGCCUGCAUUGUGAUCGAAUCCCAUUCAACCCCUAAAUACGUUGUCCUCUGAGCAGGAGAGAGAACGUUUUUCAAUAUGAGCUAGGACGACAUCCCGAUGUCGAAGCGCAAGCUCUUGAGACUGAGCCAGAAUCAGCCAGUCGUCUAUGCAAUUUAAAAUGCGGAUGCCCUGGAGUCGUAGAGGAGCCAGAGCUAGAUCCAUGUAUUUUGUGUACGUGCAGGGUGACAAAGCUAGGCCGAAUGGAAGAACCUGAUACUGGUAAGCUCCGCCCCCAAAAGCAAACUUCAGGAACUUUCUGUGUUGUGGCAAGAUUUCGAUGUGAAAAUAUGCGUCCUUUAGAUCGAUAGUCACAAACCAGUCAUCUAAAGAUCUAACAAUGGACGCAACCCCCCAUCUUUCUUGGGAAUGAGAAAAUACCAGCUGCAAUAGCCUGACUGUCUGUCUGGCAAGGGAACUGGCAGGUUCUGGUUACACGGAAGUGGAGACAAUGCCAUUGAAACACGGAGGACGAUACACAAUUUGAAUCCUGUAGCCUUUCUCCACAGUCCCUUCUACCCACAGGGAGAUAUUUGGCAGUAGCUUCCACACUGCCAACUUCUCUGAAGGGGCACUAAUCGUGACACUGGUUCUGCUGGGGGGAAUGUAAAUGUUUGGUGUCCUGAAACACUGAAGGCACAACCGAACAUGUAACAUUUCACUGGAGAUCGCUGCCCCCCAAAACACCAGUGGUGGCCUGUGGUGGCGGAGGUUACAGUGAUCCCCUAAGGGUGCCAGGAAGGAGCCCUAAACUUCUGUUGGAAUUUUCCAUGGCCCUCCCUGAGGGGACACACCCUUUGUCCUGGGCACAGCUUCAGGCCCUUUCUUUGGUCGUAAUGACCGUUCUUAGGUCCAUCUUCAUCUGUGGCUGUCAAGUGCUACAAGCUGCUCCCCAGUCUUUACGAGGGGGCGCACGACUCGCCACACUCUCUCUUUGAACCUCCUGCCCCAGAGGAGCUGGACCGGGUCGGGACUGGGCUUUUUUUUCUUCUAGACAGCUCCAACACUUGAGCACAGUGAGUGAGAAACUUAUUGAAAGCCUCCUCCUGGCACUCAGAUCUUUAAGAAGAUCAGCCUGAUAUGCCUGCAGAACCCCCAUGUGGGCAGGGCAGCACUAGUCUGACCCACAGCGUGUAACGCUUUCCCUCCACGUGUAGAUGUUGCUACAUUGUUUGGUAGGGAGCAUUGGCUGUCUUUUUUUUUUCUUUUUUUGAAAAAAGCGAUGAUGCUCCUCUAGGGGAGAGAUAGUGUCCCUUUCGUCAAGGAAAACAUAAUGUACAAGAUAUCUCACUUUAAGGCUUUAAUCUGGUCACUACACGAGUCACCACCUAGUAACUCCUCAUAUGCUUAUAAUCGCGAGAGGAGCGUUUGGAGGCAGCACUUUUAAUGUCCAUCUCAACAGAAGCAAGAGCUGAACCAACCUCUGCCCGAUCUGAAGAAGUGCCCUGGCACAGCUCGUUCCUCGUGAGAGAAAAGAGCCUAGCACGGAUAGGAAGUGAACCGCGGUGCUCACAUCUGCCGCUCUAGAACGUGACAGCAGCUUGCUUUUCUCCCAAAACUCCAAACAAUAGAGACACGAUUUAUCUUCAGAGAUCGGCCAUGAAGAGCGAGGCACACAUGUCUUACAGAUUCAGUCAACAAGAAUAGUAAGUUGUUUAAACUUAAACUUUUUACUCUCAACAUGCUUCCUUUUAAACUACACUGCUUUCAGCAGCAUGCCACACACACACACACACACACACACACACACACACACACACACACAGUGCGGUCUCUGAAGACAAAGAAACCUCAAGAUGUGUCCGUUUUAUGUCUAUUUAUAACCCUCAGGUUCACGUAAUCAGAUGACAUCACCUGCUGAGGUUAUUUAAGCCAAUUCUUGGCGUGUUUGACACACAUGCUUCACAACCGGUCGAACAAA